AUGAUUCUAUUGACAAUUUAUCUGAAGGGUCACCUGAUGGUCAGAAUAGAGUUCACUUACCCAGCCCAAACAGAAGGAUUGUUUCUCCUUUGAAGAAGUAUGAAAUGCCAAAAUUAUCGAAGAGGAGAAAAGCUAAGAAAUGGAGUCUAGUAGAAGAAGACACAUUGAGGACUGGUGUGGCGAAGUAUGGUGUAGGAAACUGGGCGAUCAUCUUAAAAUCCUAUCCUGACGAAUUUGAAGAGAGGACAGCGCUUGAUUUGAAAGACAAGUGGAGGAACAUGACUCGUUAUUGACUCCUCUAAUCAUAGUCUCUAGCGUUUUGUAUCUUUUUGUCUAUUAUGCUAAAUUCCUAUGUUGACAUAUUUGAAGAGCGGAUUGAGGUAAAAAAUUUGCAUUUCCCGGAUAAUAAUAUGAGAAGUUAUUUUGUUCAGGUUGAUUUGAAAGAGAAAUGGAGAAACAUGACUGGGUAUUGACUCUUCUAAUCACGGUUUGCGUUUUUUAUUUAUG